ensembl:lncRNA
CCCCAUUCGAACCCACAGAGACCCCACUGUGCCCCAUAGAGACCCCUCUGUGCCCCAUAGAGACUCCAUAGAGACCCCUCUGUGCCCCAUAAAGACCCCACAGAUACCCCACUGUGCCCCAUUCUGACCCACAGAGACCCCUCUGUACUCCAUAGAGACCCCAUAGAGACCCCACUGUGCCCCAUAGAGACCCCAUAGACCCCACUGUGCCCCAUUCGGACCCACAGAGAUCCCACUGUGCCCCAUAGAGACCCCAUAGAGACCCCACUGCGCCCCAUAGAGACCCCAUAGCGCCCCCCACCCUCUCGGCCCCUCCGCAGCCUCCGCAGCAGUUCGGCGUCCGUCAUUCCCCGGUACUGCUCCAUGGCCGUGACGUCAUCACCGCCGCGCCGUCGCCCGGCAGUGACGUCACGAGAGGGCGACGGUGGGUUCUCUCCGUUUAUUGGCCGCGCCCCGGCCCCGCCCCCUCCCCGCGGUUACGUCACAAUCACGGCACGAGACAGACAAUGAGGGGCGGGGCCACGAAAGGGGGCGGGGCUAUAAAUAGGGCGUGGUCGGGCGGGAGGGGGCGGGGCCACGAAGGGGGGCGGGGCCACGAGGGUGGGCGGGGCCACGAGGCACAGCGCUGUGGGGCAGAGCUAUGGGGCAGGGUAUGGGGCUGCCCAAUGGGGCUCCAUGGGGGCUACGGGGCAGAGCUAUGGGGCAGGGUAUGGGGCUGCCCAAUAGGGCUUCGUGGGGGCUAUAGGGCAGAGCUAUGGGGCAGGGUAUGGGGCUGCCCAAUAGGGCUUUGUGGGGGCUAUGGGGCAGAGCUAUGGGGCAGGGUAUGGGGCUGCGCAAUGGGGCUCCAUGGAGGCUAUGGGGCAGAGCUAUGGGGCAGGAUAUGGGGCUGCCCAAUAGGGCUUUGUGGGGGUUAUGGGGCAGAGCUAUGGGGCAGAGCAUGGGGCUGCCCAAUGGGGCUCCAUGGGGGCUAUAGGGCAGAGCUAUGGGGCAGGGUAUGGGGUUGAGCAAUGGGGCUCCAUGGGGGUUGUGGGGCAGACGAUGGGCUGCCCGAUAGGGCUCCAUGGGGCAGCCGUGGGGCUGGAUGAGCACUGUGGGUCCCGCUAUGGGGCAGGGCUGUGGGGCAGCUGUGGGUCCCGCUAUGGGGCAGGAUGUGGGGCUGUGGGGCAGCUGUGGGUCUCGCUAUGGGGCAGGAUGUGGGGCUAUGGGGCAGCUGUGGGUCCCGCUAUAGGGCAGGAUGUGGGGCUGUGGGGCAGCUGUGGGUCCCGCUAUGGGGCAGUGGCACGAAGGGGCGGAGCUCCGGCCCCGCUGACGUCACGGACCAAUGAGGGGAGAGAGGAGGCGGGGCUUCCGGCAAGCUCCGCCCCCCCAACGCUCCGCCCCUCCCGGGGCUGCUCUGGGCACAGCGCCCCCCUCUGGGGGGGAGGACCUGCGGGACGACAGCACUUAUGGGGCACCCUACAGCCCCCCCCACCCCAGAAUCCCCUACAGGGCACCCCACAGACCCCCUCUCACCCCCCUAUAGGGCACCCCACAGCCCCCCCUCCCACCCCAUAACCCCCUAUAGGGCACCC